UACGUAGGGGGCAAGCGUUGUCCGGAAUCAUUGGGCGUAAAGAGCGCGUAGGCGGUCCGGUAAGUCCGCUCUGAAAGUCCGGGGCUCAACCCCGGAGGCGGGCGGAUACUGUCGGGCUAGAGUCCGGAAGAGGCGAGUGGAAUUCCUGGUGUAGCGGUGAAAUGCGCAGAUAUCAGGAGGAACACCAAUGGCGAAGGCAGCUCGCUGGGACGGUACUGACGCUGAGGCGCGAAAGCGUGGGGAGCAAACAGG
rnacentral:rRNA from 1 species